AAGAAACUAACAAGGAUUCCCCUAGUAACGGCGAGUGAAGCGGGAUGAGCUCAAAUUUAAAAUCUGGCGGCCUCAGGUCGUCCGAGUUGUAGUCUAGAGAAUCGUUUUCCGCGUUGGCCUGUGUACAAGUCCCUUGGAACAGGGCGUCAUAGAGGGUGAGAAUCCCGUCCUUGACACAGAUUACCAAUGCUUUGUGAUGCGAUCUCGAAGAGUCGAGUUGUUUGGGAAUGCAGCUCAAAAUGGGUGGUAAAUUCCAUCUAAAGCUAAAUAUUGGCGAGAGACCGAUAGCGAACAAGUACCGUGAGGGAAAGAUGAAAAGCACUUUGGAAAGAGAGUUAAACAGUACGUGAAAUUGUUAAAAGGGAAACGAUUGAAGUCAGUCAUGCUUUCCGAGACUCAGCCGAUUCUGUCGGUGUACUUCUCGGUUGGCAGGCCAGCAUCAGUUUCGAUCUGUGGAAAAGGUUGGAGGGAACGUGGCAUCUUCGGAUGUGUUAUAGCCCUUCUUCGAAUACAUAGAGCGGGACUGAGGAACGCAGCGCGCCUUUUAUUAGGUUGGCCCUCGGGUACAUACGCGCUUAGGAUGCUGGCAUAAUGGCUUUAAACGACCC
rnacentral:rRNA from 1 species